UACAUGUGGGGCAAGCGUUGUUCGGAAUUACUGGGCGUAAAGCGUGCGUAGUCGGUAUUGCGAGUCGCGGGUGAAAUCCCAGGGCUUAACCCUGGAACUGCCUGCGAGACCUCAGUACUAGAGUGUGAGAGGGGAUAGUGGAAUACCCAGUGUAGCGGUGAAAUGCGUAGAGAUUGGGUGGAACACCGGUGGCGAAGGCGGCUAUCUGGCUCACAACUGACGAUCAGGCACGAAAGCGUGGGGAGCAAACAGG
rnacentral:rRNA from 1 species